rnacentral:rRNA from 1 species
GACAGAGGUGCCGAGCGUUAGGCGGAAUCACUGGGCUUAAAGCGUGUGUAGGCGGACCGUUAAGUACCUUGUGAAAUCCCACGGCUCAACCGUGGAACGGCUGGGUAUACUGGCGGUCUUGAGCGGCCUAGGGGCAGACGGAACAAGUGGUGGAGCGGUGAAAUGCGUAGAUAUCACGUGGAACGCCGACGGUGAAAACAGUCUGCUGGGGGCCUGCUGACGCUGAGACACGAAAGCCAGGGGAGCGAACGGG